UGACUAUUUAUUCAAUACAUACAUAUUGUUGUUUGAAUAGUGUUAGAGUAUAUGGUAAUAAUUUAAAAACAGGUUUUAAAAUGAAUGAAUUGGAACUGACUGAAUAAAAUGAGGCUCCACAC